rnacentral:rRNA from 1 species
GUGCCGUUGGUCUUUUGAUCGACGGCUUUUCGGGAGUCUAAGAAGCUUCCGGAAUAAGGGCUGGGCAAGACCGGUGCCAGCCGCCGCGGUAACACCGGCAGCUCUAGUGGUAGCCAUUUUUAUUGGGCCUAAAGCGUUCGUAGCCGGUUUGAUAAGUCUCUGGUGAAAUCCUAUAGCUUAACUGUGGGACUUGCUGGAGAUACUAUUAGACUUGAGGUCGGGAGAGGUUAGCGGUACUCCCAGGGUAGGGGUGAAAUCCUGUAAUCCUGGGAGGACCACCUGUGGCGAAGGCGGCUAACUGGAACGAACCUGACGGUGAGGGACGAAAGCCAGGGGCGCGAACCGGAUUAGAUACCCGGGUAGUCCUGGCCGUAAACGAUGUGGACUUGGUGUUGGAAUGGCUUCGAGCUGCUCCAGUGCCGAAGGGAAGCUGUUAAGUCCACCGCCUGGGAAGUACGGUCGCAAGACUGAAACUUAAAGGAAUU